rnacentral:rRNA from 1 species
UACGAAGGGGGCUAGCGUUGUUCGGAAUUACUGGGCGUAAAGCGAACGUAAGCGGUGUUCCAUGUCAGAGGUGAAAGCCUGGGGCUCAACUCCAGAAUUGCCUUUGAAACGGGGACGCUUGAGUCCGAGAGAGGAUGGCGGAAUUCCUAGUGUAGAGGUGAAAUUCGUAGAUAUUAAGAAGAACACCGGUGGCGAAGGCGGCCAUCUGGCUCGGUACUGACGCUCAGGUUCGAAAGCGUGGGGAGCAAACAGG